rnacentral:rRNA from 1 species
GGAUUAGAUACCCUGGUAGUCCACGCUGUAAACGAUGGUCACUAGCUGUUUGGGCGCAAGUCUGAGUGGCUAAGCGAAAGUGAUAAGUGACCCACCUGGGGAGUACGAUCGCAAGAUUGAAACUCAAAGGAAUUGACGGGGGCCCGCACAAGCGGUGGAGCAUGUGGUUUAAUUCGAAGCAACGCGAAGAACCUUACCAGGUCUUGACAUCCAGAGAACUUACUAGAGAUAGUUUGGUGCCUUCGGGAACUCUGUGACAGGUGCUGCAUGGCUGUCGUCAGCUCGUGCCG